ACAGAACGACAUAACGAUGAGACCUCUCUCUCUCUCUCUCUCAAAGAUGGUGUUACUGUGGUUACUAAGGGCUCCCGAGUGGCGCAGCGGUCUAAGGCAUCACUACAGACAACCCUGGUUUGAUUCCAGGCUGUAUCACAACCGGCCGUGAUUGGGAGUCCCAUAAGGCGGCGCACAAUUGGCCCAGCGUCGUUCGGGUUUGGCCGGUGUAGGCCGUCAUUGUAAAUAAGAUUUUGUUCUUUUAACUGACUUGCCUGGUGUAAUAAAGGUUAAAUAAAAAUGAUGAAUAAAAUAAACUUCCAAGGGAACACAUGGUACUGACAGAGACUCUCCAGGGACAUCAUGUUGCUUCUCAAGGGAACACAUGGUAGUGCACUAUAUAGUGACCAGGGCCCAUAGGGAUCUGGUUAUAAGUAGUGCACUAUAUAGUGACCAGGGUCCAUAGGGAUCUGGUUAUAAGUAGUGCACUAUAUAGUGACCAGGGCCCAUAGGGAUCAGGUUAUAAGUAGUGCACUAUAUAGUGACCAGGGCCCAUAGGGAUCUGGUUAUAAGUUGUGCACUAUAUAGUGACCAGGGCCCAUAGGGAUCUGUUAAAAGUAGUGCACUAUAUAGGGAAUAGGGUACGCUACUGCGCUGAAGGCUCAGUUUGUCAUAUCUAAACAUUGGGAGGACCCCCAAGCGUGAAUUCAAUUCUGACGUGAGUGUAUGAAAGCCCUCUAUAGGCUGCCAUGCUGAUUUAUCCCAAACACAGUGCCUUCGGAAACUAUUCAGACUCCUUGAAUUUCCCCACAUUUUGUUUUUACAGCCUUAUUCUGAAGCGGAUUAAAUACAACAAUUUCCUCAUCAAUCGACACACAAUACCCCAUAAUACCCCAUUGGGGCGGCAGGGUAGCCUAGUGGUUAGAGCGUUGGACUAGUAACCGGAAGGUUGCAAGAUCGAAUCCCCGAGCUGACAAGGUAAAAAUCUGUUGUUCUGAACAGGCAGUUAACCCACUGAAAAUAAGAAUUUGUUCUUAACUGAUUUGCCUAGUUAAAUAAAGGUAAAAUUAAAAUAAAUUCCCAGUUCUAACAACACUCAUAACAUUCUAAAUUCUUAUGACUAAUAAAAUGUCAUUGAUCUUUUCAGUUAUGGUUGGUUGGAGGGAUCAAACCCAGCGUGUUGGGUUGUCUGUCAGGAAUAUAUUUCAGGUCCAAUCAACACUCUGUUCCAGUGUUUCAUGGUCCUGGGGAACCAAUAGGUUUGACGAGCAGACUAGUGGAAUCAGGUGUGUAGCGCAAGGGCAAAAACGAACCCACUGUUCCCAGGCCGUCAUUGAAAAAAAUAAUUUGUUCUUAACUGACUUGCCUCGUUCAAUAAACCACCAUGGUCUUUUUUGUUGCCUUUACCUCCCUUAUCUCACCUCAUUAGCUCACAUCGUAUAUAGACUUGUUUCUACUGUAUUAUUAACCACUAGGCUACCCUGCCGCCCCAGACUUGUUUCUACUGUAUUAUUGACUGUAUGUUUGUUUUACUCCAUGUGUAACUCUGUGUUGUUGUAUGUGUCUAACUGCUUUGCUUUAUCUUGGCCAGGUCGCAAUUGUAAAUGAGAACUUGUUCUCAACUGGCCUACCUGGUUAAAUAAAGGUGUUCUCAACUUGUCUACCUGGUUAAUUAAAGGUGUUCUCAACUUGUCUACCU
ensembl:lncRNA